GAUCUUGGUUCAGGAUGAACGCUGGCGGCGUGCCUAACACAUGCAAGUCGAGCGAUUACUUCGGUAAAGAGCGGCGGACGGGUGAGUAACGCGUGGGUAACCUGCCUCAUACACAUGGAUAACAUACCGAAAGGUAUGCUAAUACAGGAUAAUAUAAGAGAUUCACAUGGAUUUCUUAUCAAAGCUCCGGCGGUAUGAGAUGGACCCGCGUCUGAUUAGCUAGUUGGUAAGGUAAUGGCUUACCAAGGCGACGAUCAGUAGCCGACCUGAGAGGGUGAUCGGCCACAUUGGAACUGAGACACGGUACCAAACUCCUACGAGAGGCAGCAGGUGGGGAAUAUUGCACAAUGGGACGAAAGCCUGAUGCAGCAACGCCGCGUGAGUGAUGAAGGCCGUUCGGGUACGUAAAACUCUGUCCUCAAGGAAGAUAAUGACGGUACUGAGGAGGAACGCCCGGCUAACUACGUGCCAGCCGCCGC
rnacentral:rRNA from 1 species